ACGCCGCUGCGGAGUGCGUUAGGCCACCUUAUCCCCGGGGCCAAUAUCUACCUCUAGGGAGCUGUCCCUGCCGGGCCCGUGGGCCCGGGACACGGCGCCCACCUGCUGACGCAGGCCACGGAGGAUAUCCCGGCCGACGGCUUCGCGGCGGCACC
rnacentral:other from 1 species